UAAGGAAUAUUGGUCAAUGGGCGCAAGCCUGAACCAGCCAUGCCGCGUGCAGGAAGACGGCCCUAUGGGUUGUAAACUGCUUUUAUCAGGGAAUAAACCCCCGCUCGUGAGCGGGGCUGAAGGUACCUGAAGAAUAAGCAUCGGCUAACUCCGUGCCAGCAGCCGCGGUAAUACGGAGGAUGCAAGCGUUAUCCGGAUUUAUUGGGUUUAAAGGGUGCGCAGGCGGAUUGGUAAGUCAGGGGUGAAAUCCCACAGCUCAACUGUGGAACUGCCCUUGAUACUGUCAGUCUAGAGUAUAGUUGAAGUGGGCGGAAUGUGUCAUGUAGCGGUGAAAUGCUUAGAUAUGACACAGAACACCGAUCGCGAAGGCAGCUCGCUAAGCUAUAACUGACGCUCAUGCACGAAAGCGUGGGGAUCAAAUAG
rnacentral:rRNA from 1 species